rnacentral:rRNA from 2 species
GUCGGUGGUUGAUAGCGUCAGGGUCACGCCCGGUCCCAUUUCGAACCCGGUAGCUAAGUCUGUGCGCGCUGAUGGUACUGCACCUGGGAGGGUGUGGGAGAGUAGGUUGCCGCCGGCC